AUUGAACGCUGGCGGCAGGCCUAACACAUGCAAGUCGAGCGGGGUUUUCGGACCUAGCGGCGGACGGGUGAGUAAUGCGUAGGAAGCUGCCCGAUAGAGGGGGAUACCAGUUGGAAGCGACUGUUAAUACCGCAUAAUGUCUACGGACCAAAGUGUGGGACCUUCGGGCCACAUGCUAUCGGAUGCGCCUACGUGGGAUU
rnacentral:rRNA from 1 species